GGAAUCUUGCGCAAUGGGCGAAAGCCUGACGCAGCAACGCCGCGUGCGGGAAGAAGGCCUUCGGGUUGUAAACCGCUUUCAGCAGGAACGAAAAUGACGGUACCUGCAGAAGAAGGUGCGGCCAACUAUGUGCCAGCAGCCGCGGUGAUACAUAGGCACCAAGCGUUGUCCGGAUUUAUUGGGCGUAAAGAGCUCGUAGGCGGUUCAGUCAGUCGGGUGUGAAAACUCUGGGCUUAACCCAGAGCCUGCACCCGAUACUGCUGUGACUAGAGUUCGGUAGGGGAGCGGGGAAUUCCUGGUGUAGCGGUGAAAUGCGCAGAUAUCAGGAGGAACACCGAUGGCGAAGGCACCGCUCUGGGCCGAAACUGACGCUGAGGAGCGAAAGCAUGGGUAGCAAACAGGAUUAGAUACCCUGGUAGUCCAUGCCGUAAACGUUGGGCACUAGGUGUGGGUUCCAAUCAACGGAAUCCGCGCCGUCGCUAACGCAUUAAGUGCCCCGCCUGGGGAGUACGGUCGCAAGACUAAAACUCAAAGGAAUUGACGG
rnacentral:rRNA from 1 species